CCUUUCAGACGUGAUAACGGCAAUAGAAAAGGACAAACCAUCUCCAGAAAGAGACAAGCGGAGACGUCUACACUUUAGUGCCCGUGAGUCCGACGACGAAAUAGGAUAUUGUAAUUUCUGCUGUCGGCAGCUUUAUUUCCCGGACACAAAGUUCUGCGACAAUGCUUGUGAGAAGAGGAAGCGGCAGUUAAGCUGGAAAUCAGCAAACAUAGAUUUACCAAAUGCUAGGAGAAAUAGAUAUGUUUGGGCGACAGAACCAAGACAGGCGCAUCAGUUUACUAAUUUCACGAACUACAAGCCAUCCUGGGAGAUGUAUGGACAAUAGUUCAGAUUUAUCUAUAUGCAAACACGUGCUGAGUGUACAAGACGGUCAUACAAAUGGGAUACUGGAAGCAAAGAACGAACUUAAAAGUAGUUCAAUCUGACACCAUGUGAAAGGCAGUGUGUACCUUUACAUGGGAUGGCUUCAGUAUGCUUUAAAAAUGACGGUGGCCAAGUUUAAUAUUUAGUAACUUACUGUAUGUUUCUAAAAUGUCUAAUCGAAUAUGUCUAGUUUAUUAUCGAAAUUUUGCAAUAUACCACUGUUGAAAACAGGUUAAUUUUGUCUGUGCUUUUGACUACGUAGUUGGUGAUGCUUUAACGCUUUAACAGUAAUGGCGGAUCUUAAAUUACUGUUAUCACUAUCCAUUGUCAAAGACGCCUAUGCCAUAGACGCUUGCUGCAGUUUCUUGUACGAGUGAUUAGGCAAAAAUUUCCCAAUAAUAUAAUUUGUUCAAACUUUGUAUAUGAACACGGUUUCAUGUUAGAAACAGAAAAGUGCAAAAUCAAUCAUAGGUCACAGUGCUUUAAAACUGGAUUUUUCUUCAAAUUUGCAUAUUCAAGGGCAGAUAACUCCUAAACAAGCAAGCUGAACAUCAAUUUUUUUUCAAAAUUCUGUAUCUAAUAUGACACUGUGUUCUUAUUCAAAGUUUGAACAAAUACUAAUAUUGGGAUUUUUUACCCAAAACUGCAUUUAAUGAUACAAUAGGUCAUGUUGACUACUAAAGUUUUAUACAGUUUUCUAUAAGUCUUGAAUUUCAAGAAGGCUUGUUUUAAAUGCGUGUUAAUAUUCUCUGGUCCAUUGGGAUCAUAGACUCCUUUCAAUUUUACUGUCAUGAUAGAAUUCCAAUUAAUUAAGCCGGUGCUAGGCAGCACGAGGGGUAUCACACAUUUCAUAACCUCAGUCGUUUUGCUCGGUUGCAUUCUAUGCUUCCAAAGGAUCUUCUUACAGUUUACAACAUUGCAGUGAUUACAAAAACUGAUGGAAAUAAAAAAUAAGUUUGUUUUAACAGUACUUGUAUUUUAAUUGUAGUAACUGUGGCCAAAAUAUUAAGUGUUUAUUAGUGUCGACUAAGAUAUAAAUUGGACUAUUCUUUAUGUAGAUAAUGGGAAUGUCGUCUUUGAUUUUCAGUUAUUAAAUCGGUUUACAAAUUAAGA